rnacentral:rRNA from 1 species
UGGGGGAUAUUGCGCAAUGGGCGAAAGCCUGAUGCAGCGACGCCGCGUGGGGGAUGAAGGCUUUCGGGUUGUAAACCUCUUUCGCUAUCGAACAAGGCCCGCUUAGGGUGGGUUGAGGGUAGGUGGAGAAGAAGCGCCGGCUAACUACGUGCCAGCAGCCGCGGUAAUACGUAGGGCGCGAGCGUUGUCCGGUAUUAUUGGGCGUAAAGGGCUUGUAGGCGGCUUGUUGCGCCUGCUGUGAAAACGCGGGGCUUAACUUCGCGCGUGCAGUGGGUACGGGCAGGCUUGAGUGUGGUAGGGGUGACUGGAAUUCCAGGUGUAGCGGUGGAAUGCGCAGAUAUCUGGAGGAACACCGAUGGCGAAGGCAGGUCACUGGGCCAUUACUGACGCUGAGGAGCGAAAGCAUGGGUAGCGAACAGG